UACGUAGGGUGCAAGCGUUAAUCGGAAUUACUGGGCGUAAAGCGUGCGCAGGCGGUUUUGUAAGUCAGACGUGAAAUCCCCGGGCUCAACCUGGGAAUGGCAUUUGGGACUGCAAGGCUCGAGUGCGGCAGAGGAGACUGGAAUUCCUGGUGUAGCAGUGAAAUGCGUAGAUAUCAGGAGGAAUACCGAUGGCGAAGGCAGGUCUCUGGGCUGACACUGACGCUCAUGCACGAAAGCGUGGGGAGCAAACAGG
rnacentral:rRNA from 1 species